rnacentral:rRNA from 1 species
AUGGACCGUGAAGCCUGUACAAGCCACAAUGUCCUUGAGAGGAUUCUGCUUGAUGAAAGCGCAGAGCCCACAAACCUGCCGUUAUCACUUUUGGAAGACAUCACAAAUUGUUUCUCCCUUGAUCACCAAAUUGGCAGCGGCGGAUUUGCGGUGGUUUAUAAGGGAGUGGUCGGGAAAGGUACGGUUGCUGUGAAGAAGCUGUCAAACACGUAUGGUGUUCACGAGAAUAAAUUCCAGGAAGAGAUUAAGUGCCUGAUAAAGGCCAAGCACAAGAAUAUUGUACGGUUUCUGGGGUAUUGCGCUGACGCGCAAGGUAAAAUGAAAGAGUACGAGGGGAAUCUUGUCAUGGCAGAGGAACGAAACUGGCUGCUAUGUUUUGAUUAUGCAUGCAACGGGAGUCUCGAUAGACACAUUACCGAUGCAACUUGUGGACUUAAUUGGAGGAAGCGGUAUCAAAUAAUCAGGGGGGUGUCUACAGGUUUAGUUUUUCUCCGUGAGAAGGGUAUUCUUCACUUGGACUUGAAGCCGGCUAAUAUAUUGCUAGACAGUCACAUGGUACCCAAAAUUGCUGAUUUUGGUCUAUCAAGAUGCCUUAGUCAAGCACAAACCUGUGCUAUUACUCAAAAUAUAUUUGGAACAAAAGGAUAUAUGGAUCCAGAAUACAUCAGAUCAGGCCAAAUUGGAUUCGCGUCAGAUGUAUAUAGCCUUGGCGUUAUAAUCAUGGAGAUACUGACAGGAGCAAGGAGAUAUUGCAAAGAUGAGCAUGCAGUCGGAAGAUGGAUGGAUCGAUUGAGGGUAUCAGAGGGGGACAUGCAAUUAGAACAAGUGAGAGUAUGCAGUGAGAUAGCGAUAGAGUGCAUGGACUUGGACCCAGCGAAGAGACCAGAUGCAUGCCAUAUAAUUGAUAGACUUGAUAAAAUUGAGGGUCCUGACAAAUCAGACAAAACUGGCAUCAACAAUUCAUUCACUGAGCUGCAGGUAAAUUUACCAAGGGAACAAUUUGAAGAAAGAGUUGGAAACCCUGCAGCUAAGAGCCUCCAAGCGGAUGUCGAGGAACACUCUGAAAUAUUGGAAGAUGCCGCAAAAACAAUUGAAAGGCCUCAUUUCCAAGAAGGCCAAGAGAAAUUAGGCCAGUUAUCAUUAUGUGGUGGGCAAGAUACGAUGGAAAAGCUCAACCGCCAUGAAACAAGCAAUUCUAGCUCUAUAUCUACUCUGUUCUAUGGGUUUAGCAUUUUGGACAUGUACAACAAGACAGCAUACAGGAUUUUCGAUAGGAACAACAGGCGUAUAUCAGAACAGUCACAUUUUAUAAAUAUCUUCACAACGGAGGAGCUCAGGCCAAUAAUAAUGAGUAGUAAUCUCAUCAGAGAAGUUAACUCCGCUAAAGUUUACAAAGGCGUUGUUGAUGAUGCUCUGCUUGCAGUAAAGCAAAUGUUUAAUGCUGAUGAAAAGCAAUUAAAAAAUGAAGUCAUCAUCCAGUCUCAAAUCAUACACAAGAACAUUGCUUGUCUCAUAGGUUGUUGCCUAGAAAUGGAUAACCCCAUUCUGGUUUACGAGUUCCUCCCCAGAGGAACCCUUCAUGACAUACUUCACAGCGGCAGCAAGGUGCCUCUCAACUUGGAUGUGCGUCUAAAUAUUGUUGCAGAAUCAGCACAAGGGCUAGCCUACUUACAUUCACAAGCUCGUACCAAAAUCUUGCAUGGUGAUGUCAAAUCAGCAAAUAUACUCUUGGAUCAUAACUUUGUGCCAAAGAUCGCGGUCUUUGACCUAUCGAGGUUGAUUGCGAGAGAUAAUGAACGCACUUCCUUCGUCAUCGGUGACAUGACCUAUAUGGAUCCAGUAUACAUGCAAACAGGUCAACUGACAGAAAAAAGUGAUGUCUACAGUUUUGGAGUCGUGAUCUUGGAGCUCAUUAGCAGGAAGCCCACCUAUAUUGACAGUGUUUGGUUAGUGCAGAGUUUCAUUGAAUUACGCAGAGAAGGGAAGAAAGCAACCGAGCUCUUUGACAAGAAAAUUGCAGUAACAACGAGAGAUUUGGUGAUCCUUGACUGUCUUGCAGAGAUUGCUGUGGACUGUGUUAACCUUGAUGUGGAUCAAAGGCCCACAAUGACGGAAGUUGCAGAGCGCCUUGUCAUACUGAAUCGAUCUCGUAGAUUACAUGCACGACAUACGAGUGCUGACUAUUCAGAGGAAACUGACAUUAGUUCUUCAUUUGCUGAGCAACGGAAAGUAGGUCACUUACCAUGGGGAGUGCAAGAUACAAACGGUCGUGGUGGAGGUAAUUCUAGCUCUGUCUCUACUGGGUUUUUCAAGUUGAACAAUUUGGAUAUUUUCAAUUGGAAAGGGCGCAGAAAUUUCAAUAGGAACACCAGGCAUACAUUAGGAAAGUCACAUUUUAUAAAGAUCUUCAGGAAGGAGGAGCUCAAGCCAAUAAUAAGGAGUGCCAAUAGUAUUGGAAGAGGUGCCUUUGGUGAAGUUUACAAGGGAUUUAUUGAUAACACACUGGUUGCGGUAAAGAUACCGAUUAAUUCCAGUUUGUUAGAGCAUCCACAAUUUCACAAUCAGGUCAUCAACAUGUCUCAAGUCAGCCACAAGAAUAUCGUCAGGCUCAUAGGUUGUUGCCGAGAAGCAGAUCACCCCAUGCUAGUGUUCGAGCUCGUCUCCAAUGGUACCGUGAAUGAUAUUCUUCAUGGCGGCAAUAAUGCGCCCUUAAAGUUGGACGUGUGUCUAACUAUUGUUGCAGAAUCAGCACAAGGGCUAGCUUAUCUGCAUUCACAAGUUCGUAUCAAAAUCCUGCAUGGUGAUGUUAAACCGGCAAAUAUACUCCUGGAUGAAAACUGUAUGCCAAAGAUUGCAGGCUUUGGCAUAUCAAGGUUGAUUACAGGAGAUAAGGAACACACUGUCCAUAUCAUCGGUGACAUGUGUUAUAUGGAUCCAGUGUACCUGCAAACAGGCCGGCAGACCUUGAAAAGUGAUGUCUACAGUUUUGGAAUUGUGAUCUUGGAGGUCAUUAGCAGAAAAAAGGCCACUCAUUCUGAUAAUAACAACCUAGUGAGCAGUUUCCUUGAAGUUCACAGAGAAGGGAAGAAAGCAACCGAGCUGUUUGACAAGGAAAUUGCAGUAACAACAGGAGAUUUGGAGGUUCUUGACUGUCUGGCAGAGAUUGCCGUGGAAUGUAUUAACCUUGAUGUAGAUCAAAGGCCCACGAUGACAGAUAUUGCAGAGCGCCUACUCAUACUGAAUCGAUCUCGUAGGCCAAAAAUUGUUUGCCAAUAA